rnacentral:rRNA from 1 species
AGUGAACGCUGGCGGUAGGCCUAACACAUGCAAGUCGAACGGCAGCACAGUAAGAGCUUGCUCUUACGGGUGGCGAGUGGCGGACGGGUGAGGAAUACAUCGGAAUCUACUUUUUCGUGGGGGAUAACGUAGGGAAACUUACGCUAAUACCGCAUACGACCUACGGGUGAAAGCAGGGGAUCUUCGGACCUUGCGCGAUUGAAUGAGCCGAUGUCGGAUUAGCUAGUUGGCGGGGUAAAGGCCCACCAAGGCGACGAUCCGUAGCUGGUCUGAGAGGAUGAUCAGCCACACUGGAACUGAGACACGGUCCAGACUCCUACGGGAGGCAGCAGUGGGGAAUAUUGGACAAUGGGCGCAAGCCUGAUCCAGCCAUACCGCGUGGGUGAAGAAGGCCUUCGGGUUGGAAAGCCCUUUUGGUGGGAAAGAAAAGCAGCAAGUUAAUACCCCGCUGUCCUGACGGUACCCAAAGAAUAAGCACCGGCUAACUUCGUG